UCGUGGACGUUGUUGCUACUUGCAACGGUCGCAACAGCUUGUACUUUUCAUAAUCCCAUCGCUUGGUUGACUAUCUUGUUUGUUUAUACGAUCGAUACGAUGGCGUCCGGUGGUGAAAGUACAACAGACGAAAGGACUGAAGCAGUAGCAGCUCAACCCAUCGCCAAUGUUGUGUCCGAAACAGCCCACGUAAGGGAGAUAACCUAACACCUUCUCGACCACCUUGGAUUAUGGGGCCUGGGGUACGAGCGGUAAAGUAAUAUCCAUGGACAAGGAUUCGGAUCUGUCGGGUGUGCCUCCUAAAAAAGCUCGAGUCGAGGUUCAAUCAUUACCUACCAGGCAGUACUUAGACCAAACCGUAGUGCCCAUCUUGCUGCAGGCACUAUCGAGCCUAGCCAAGGAGAGACCACCUGAUCCCAUCAGCUUCCUAGCGGGUUACUUAUUAAGAAACAAGAACCAAUAUGACAACGGUGGGUCUCCACCAACUAGCCAAUAAGCACAUUCUACACUGUUGACCGUGGGAGGAGAAUAAAAUUGUUUUGUGAGUUUUUCAUGAACAUGAAUUGAGACAUGGUGACGAUAUUUGAUCGUUAUACUUUUUAAAAUAAAUAAAGAUGACAUAGCUUUUACAUAA